ensembl:lncRNA
CCCCCACCCACAGCUCCGCCUGCUUGGCCCCGCCCCCUCUCACCUGUGGUCUUACCUGCGCGUCUGCAGCACCUGGACUUGGAAAUUCCUCCACCUCCUCCGCUGAUCCAAGACUAGGACUGAACCAGGACUGAACCAGGACUGAACCAGGACUGAACCAGGACUGAACCAGGACUAAACCAGGACUAAACCAGGACUAAACCAGGACUAAACCAGGACUAAACCAGGACUGAACCAGGACUGAACUAGGUCUAAACCAG